rnacentral:rRNA from 1 species
AUAUUGGACAAUGGGCGAAAGCCUGAUCCAGCCAUGCCGCGUGUGUGAAGAAGGUCUUAGGAUUGUAAAGCACUUUAAGAGGGGAGGAAGGGGUUGAAGCUAAUACCGUAAAUCUUUUACGUUACCAACAGAAUAAGCACCGGCUAACGCUGUGCCUGCAGCCGCGGUAAUACAGAGGGUGCAAGCAUUAAUCGGAAUUACUGGGCGUAAAGAGCGCGUAGGUGGUUCAGUAAGAUGGAAGUGAAAUCCCCGGGCUUAACCUGGGAACUGCUUUCAUAACUGCUGAGCUAGAGUACGGUAGAGGGUAGUGGAAUUUCCUGUGUAGCGGUGAAAUGCGUAGAUAUAGGAAGGAACACCAGUGGCGAAGGCGACUACCUGGACUGAUACUGACACUGAGGUGCGAAAGCGUGGGGAGCAAACA